rnacentral:lncRNA from 1 species
CUUCCUUAUUUCAUUUCAUUAUGAUCAUCAUUAGAGUACAAAACCACAACUAUUUAGUCCAUGAAAAUAGAAAAUGAAAAAAAAUUCAAUUUAUUGGUGCCAAAACAAUUAUGAAAUGACAAUCAUGGAGCCAAUUUAGAAGAACAUGAACACAAACCCAUUCGGCGUAAUCUAGGAACAACUCUAGUUAUAAAUAUACACCAAACUUGUUGAGGAUGCGAGCACACAUUCCUUGAACAAUCAUGAUCGCCAUCACAUAUUCUAUGAUAAAAAAGAAAAAUUGAAUAAAUGAUGUUAGUAAAAUGAGAUAAUAAAAUAUAAAUAAAAUACCUAAGAAAACUUAUGAAAGAAAAAAAGUGGCUUACGUGCCAUUGCUCAUUGCAACAAUAAAUGGAGAAAUAAGGAUAAGCAUUACAUAAAGAAACUUGGCAAUUUUAUCCAUACUUUCUUCCCU